CCUACGGGAGGCAGCAGUGGGGAAUAUUGGGCAAUGGGCGGAACCCUGACCCAGCAACGCCGCGUGAAUGAAGAAGGCUUUCGGGUUGUAAACCUCUUUCAACAGGGAAGAGAAGAAUACCGUACCCUUUCAAUAAGCCACGGCUAACUACGUGCCAGCAGCCGCGGUAAGACGUAGGGGGCAAGCGUUUACCGGAUUUACUGGGUGUAAAGGGCGUGCAGGCGGGAAGACAAGUCAGAUGUGAAAUCCCGCGGGUCAACCGCGGGACUGCAUUUGAAACUGUUUUUCUUGAGUACCGGAGAGGUCAUCGGAAUUCCUAGUGUAGCGGUGAAAUGCGUAGAUAUAAGGAGGAACACCAGUGGCGAAGGCGGAUGACUGGACGGCAACUGACGGUGAGGCGCGAAAGCGUGGGGAGCAAACAGGAUUAGAUACCCCAGUAGUC
rnacentral:rRNA from 1 species